ACGAACGCUGGCGGCGUGCUUCACCCAUGCAAGUCGAACGGAAAGGCCCUGCUUGCAGGGUACUCGAGUGGCGAACGGGUGAGUAACACGUGGGUGAUCUGCCCUGCACUUCGGGAUAAGCCUGGGAAACUGGGUCUAAUACCGGAUAGGAGCCAUUUUUGGUGUGUUGGUUGGAAAGGUUUUUCGGUGUAGGAUGAGCUCGCGGCCUAUCAGCUUGUUGGUGGGGUAAUGGCCUAACAAGGCGGCGACGGGUAGCCGGCCUGAGAGGGUGGACGGCCACAUUGGGACUGAGAUACGGCCCAGACUCCUACGGGAGGCAGGAGUGGGGAAUAUUGCAAAAUGGGCGCAAGCCUGAUGCAGCGAAGCCGCGUGGGGGAUGACGGCCUUCGGGUUGUAAACUCCUUUCGCUAGGGACGAAGCUUUUUGUGACGGUACCUAGAGAAGAAGCACCGGCUAACUACGUG
rnacentral:rRNA from 1 species